rnacentral:tRNA from 2 species
CGCGGGGAAGUGUAACGGCUGCACAGGAGGCUCAUAAUCUCCAGGUAGGGAGUUCGAUUCUCCCCCCCGCAA